ACGAGAACAAAAUAGGGUUAAACAAGUUCAAACUGCAAAAGUCGUAAUUAGUACUAGUAUACCUUAAAGAUAAUAUAUAUGUUUAAUGAAUGCUAUACCCAUGAGUUUAAUCAAUUAGGUAGCACCGGUCAAAGUCCACGAUAAAGGAUAGUACAAGAAUGUAUUGCUAAAUGAAAGUAAUUAGCUUGUUAUUAAUGGAGGCUAUUGUUUCAGGUAGGUGAAGGUUGGCGCCUAUUAAAACGUUUAAACCCGCUGCAUUUGUUUGGACCUGUCCUAAGUCAGGAACCUGAUGUUCAGUGGUUGUCGUUUGUUGAUGUGGUUCAUAAGUGUUUCUCGUUUCUCGUUUUUUAUAUAGAUUAGACCGUUGGUUCUCCUGUUUGAAUGGUUUUACACUAGUCAUUUUUGGGGCCCUUUAUAGCUUGCUGUUCGGUGUGAGCCAAUGCUCCGUGUUGAAGGCCGUACUUUGACCUAUAAUGGUUUACUUUUACAAAUUGUGACUAGGAUGGAGAGUUGUCUUAUUGGCACUCAUACCACAUCUUUUUAUAUCUAUGUAGCUUGUUAUCUAAUGGAGAUAAAUAUCUUGUUACUAAAUUGAAGUGUGUGUCUUGUUACCUAAUGGAGGCAUGCAUCUUGUUAUUCAAUGGAGAUAAAUAUCUUGUUACUAAAUUGAAGUGUGUGUUUUGUUAACUUAUGGAGGUAUGUAUCUUGUUACUAAAUGGAAGUAUAAUAUCUUGUCGAGAUGUAUAUCUUUUAAUUUAAUAGAAGUAUUUUUCUUGUUACUUAAUGAAAAAAUAUGUAUAUUAUUACUUUAUAAACGUAUUUAUAUUGUUGCUUGAUAAAGGUAUACAUCUUGUAACGUAAUGGAGGUACAAUGUAUUUAUCGUGUUACCUGAUGGAAUUCUAAAUGGAGGCAUAUAUCUUGAUAUUAAAUUGGGGUAUAUAUAUUGUUACUAAAUGGAGGUAUAUAUCUUGUUAUUAAAUGGGGUUAUAUAUCUUGUUACUAAAUGGAGGUAUGUAUCUUGCUUGUUACUAUAUGGAGGUAUAUUUCUUGUUACUAAAUGGAGGUAUGUUUCUUGUUACUAAAUGGAGGUAUGUAUCUUGUUACUAAAUGGAGGUAUAUAUCUUGUUACUAAAUGGAGGUAUAUUUCUUGUUACUAAAUGGAGGUAUGUUUCUUGUUACUAAAUGGAGGUAUGUAUCUUGUUACUAAAUGGAGGUAUAUAUCUUGUUACUAAAUGGAGGUAUAUUUCUUGUUACUAAAUGGAGGUAUGUUUCUUGUUACUAAAUGGAGGUAUAUAUCUUGUUACUAAAUGGAGGUAUGUUUCUUGUUACUAAAUGGAGGUAUGUUUCUUGUUACUAAAUGGAGGUAUAUAUCUUGUUACUGAAUGAACCUAUUUAUCUUGUUACUUAAUGGAAGUAUGUAUCUUGUUACUUAAAAGACUAAUUUAACUUGUUGCUUUGAGGAGGUAUGUAUCUUGCUACUUAAUGGAAGUUAAACAUUGUGACAUAAUGGAGGUAUAUGAUAUAGUUAUUGAACAAGUAAAUCGGUAUAUGUCAUUUUAUCUGCACGGCUCGGGUGACCCUGCUUGACCCGAACGACGCAGGAGUUCGUACGUCGUUCGGGUUAAAGGGUCAUCCCGACUGUGCAGAUUAAAUGACAUAUACCGAUUUGAUUGUCCAAUAACUGUUUAACACAUGGCGCCAUCAAUUUACAUGAACGUUUUGGAAAUAUGCCGACGAUAUUCAAUCCACGGUUCAUAGUAAAGUUCUCUUGUAGGGUAAAGAAAGGCGAAAAUACGCUUUUAAGUAGUAAAAGGUUGGUAACUUUUACAUUAUGAACUAAGAUAAGGCUUUCUCCUAUAUUGUUACUUUAUUUGCGUUUUUUUUUUAAAUUGCAGAUCUUUGAUUGUUUCUUUUAAAUGCAUUCACAUUUUUUCCCCUCAAGAAUAUGCUCAUAUGAAGAUUAAUUCGAAGAGAGAUGUGCCUAAAUUAAUAGUGCAAAGAAUACGGGGGAAAAGUUUCAAUUUUCAAUAUUUAACUUCCCUCCUCUCCCCCCCAAUUUUUAAACUGUAUUCGGUGAAUAAUUUUGAAGACAUCUUGCAUUUUAACCAAGUAUGAUUGAUCUUCAACUUAUAUAUUUUUCCAGUUUUUGCACAUACUUAAAUAUAAAUCUUAUAAAAUUCGAUCCCAUAAUGAUAGUCACCUUAAAGAUUAUUUGGAUAUUCUAAAAUACACUCAUUUUUUGGCAGAAAUUAUGAUUUUUUUUUAUUUAUCUAGUCAGACUUAGUUUAACAAUGGUUUCAGAUUUACAUUGUACUUGUGAGAUACUUCAUUUUUUGAAACAAAGUUGUUGAUUUGUCAACUGUCGUAAUUGCAAGGUCAGUGGCGGAUUCAAGGGGGGGGGAGGGGCAUAAAGGGCGUACACUACAUUUGAUUGGAAAAUAUAUAAUUUUUUAGCAUAAAAUCGUCAAAUCUUUUUUAAUAGAAUUACGCCUCCUUUGAAAAAUCCUAUCCGGCCUUAAAAGGUAAGAGUACAUCUGAACUGUGCAGUAUAUCUGAGGUAGUUAAUGCACACCGUAGCUGUACAGUCUCCAGAUUAUUGCAUCUCGUUACUUGAUGUAUAUAUAUCAUGUUACUUAAUAGAGGUCUAUAUCUUGUUACAUAAUGGAGGUAUUAUUUUAUUAAUUAAUAUCUUGUUAGUUAAUUGGAUCGUCUUUUUUGAGUGAAUUGAUCGUGUGUUUUUUUCAAGUGUGAAUAUGAUGCAAAAUAUAAACAAACAGAUUAGCAUUGUAUUUCCCUGAGUUUGUUUUUUUUUUUAAGAUAUUCGAGGAAAUUUUGUUUCUGUCUGUGAAUAAAAAGAAAUGUGGGUAAACGUCAAUGAGACAGUAACCCAAACGAAAAAAUAACCACAAGACCAAAAGACCUCUAGAGGUAGGGCAACAAUCAUUCUUCAACAAUAUAAACGUGUCUAUACAAUAUCUCUAGCUCUAAAUCGUUCCAAUUCCAUAAAAGUCGGGAAUAGAUUUAACAAAAACAAUCAAAGAUCUGAAAUUAACGCAUCCAUGCAGUUUUGAUAUUUGAUUACAGUCAACAAAUCAAUUAAUUCAACACGGCGGGUUUCACUAGUGAAGUAGGAAUUAUCGAACUGCUGACUCUUAUGAAGCAGGAAUUAACAAAUGGGAUAUAACAUCAUAAAUUGUACGGUGAAGUGGUUUAUAGUACCCGUAAGUUAAGAUACGAUCCAUAUAUACAUGAUUGUUCCUAUGAUUAACUCCGUCUUAAAGUUAUCAUUUGUUAAUCAAUGUUCAUCAAUUGUUAAGUAAGAUCUUUUAAAAUUGUCAUUUUCGGUACUAGCAUUGAUUCUAUUUUUAAUAGUGUAAUACAUAACUAAACAUGUAUUAUAUCCAGGUUUAAAAACAAAAUAAUGGCCCUACAUCAUGUUGAUACUUAGCUCGUGCUUUUAUCAGACUGCUUUUGAUCGAUGUCUAUAUACUAAAUCUGUUUCAGGUGUACGGAUUGACAUUUUAGCCUGAGAUUAUCGUUUACUAGUAUUUAUUAGUUGAAAUUGGGUUUUAGACUUUAUACAAAGGUCAAGAGCGUCUGGGGUUUAAUGUGUACAUGAUAAUAUAAUAAUUGUAUAAUGCUUAAUUAUUUCUAAUAUGUCGGUUUAUUGUCUGAUUGUAUAUGUUAAUUCUGUAUGUUGUAAAUUUUUUUUAAUUUGAAAUCACUUUAUAAAAGUCGACACACAAUAGUCCGUCAAAAUCCCAUUGUAUAACGUUCAAAGCUAUAGGACACUUUACCGAAUGUGCUUUUAUAACAGACACGGGAACACACACAUACAAAAAAAACCACACACACAUACUAAACUAGAAAAGAAAAACUCACAACGACAGAGAAUACACCCAUUGUCAUCGAUUUGGAACAGGUUACCGGGACAAA